rnacentral:piRNA from 1 species
UGAACCUCAACCUCCUACAAAGAUGUGA